UACGAAGGGGGCUAGCGUUGUUCGGAGUUACUGGGCGUAAAGGGCUCGUAGGCGGCCAACUAAGUCAGACGUGAAAUCCCUCGGCUUAACCGGGGAACUGCGUCUGAUACUGGAUGGCUUGAGUGUGGGAGAGGGAUGCGGAAUUCCAGGUGUAGCGGUGAAAUGCGUAGAUAUCUGGAGGAACACCGGUGGCGAAGGCGGCAUCCUGGACCAUUACUGACGCUGAGGAGCGAAAGCCAGGGGAGCAAACGGG
rnacentral:rRNA from 1 species